rnacentral:lncRNA from 1 species
AUGGGAGCCUGUCCUUGCCUGUUUCUGUUCACAGUCCUAUUUGUGGAAAAGGCAAGAGUGGGGGCACAGCUUCAGGCCAGAGAAGUUCCUGAUGCUCAGUGUUCCUGGAUGAUAGCCUUUCCACUGGAAGUGCAGUUUUUCUCCCACCGUCUCUCUACUCCAGGGGGAAAGCGAAGUCUGUGGGGACUGGCUUUCUGGGAAGUAGGGAAGAGGAAAGGAACAGACGGGCACAUGCUCAACUUCUCUCCAAGUGAUUCCAAUGACCUUGUCAGUAAAAUCGGGGCAGUGAUAGCACCUGCUUCUGGUACAGGGCGAUGACGCGUUAUCAAGCCCUCGGUACGACGCCUGGUUGUGUGGUAAGUGUUGUUGUUUCUAUCAUUGUGUGCAUAGGUCUGGUGGACUCAGAGCUUAGGUUUCCCGCAUCAAAAUGUUGUUAGAUGUGUACUUAUGCACUGGCCUCAACCCCUUUACCGAAUGUGGAACAUGGUGCAUGGCAUAUGGAUUUUUCCAAGGGCUUUGGUUUAGCAAGAAUAUCAUCCUAGUCUGCUUAGUUUAUAGCAGCUGCCUUUUCUCAUGUGACUGGUGUCCUGUCUCCCUGUAGUUUGAGAACAGAGAUCCUAUCAUUCUAUAAUUAAGAAAAUGUAGAGUGUUUCUUUUCGUUACACUUGAGUUUGAAUCUCAGCUUUUUACAACUAAUGGUAAAAACAUUAAAACACAAUUUUUUCUUGGACUUUUUUAUUGAGAUAUAUUUCAUCUACCAUAAAAACUGUGCUUUAAAGUGCAUGAUUCAGUGGUUCCCUGCAUAUUCACAGAGUUGUGCAACCACCACGACGAUCUAACUCUAGAUCAUUUCAUCAUCCCCCUCCCUCCAAAAAAGAAAAAAAAACCCCAUGCCUACUAGCAGUCACCUGAAUUUCCUACCCCAGCCUCUGGCAACCACCAGUCUGUUUUUGUCUCUGGAGUUGCCCGUGCUGCGUUUCACACAGAUGGGAUUGUAUGGGGCAUGAUCUUUUGUGUCCGGCUACUUUUCCUCAGACUAAAGUUUUCAGAGUUUAACCGUGUUGCAGAGGCAUUGGUAAUUCUUCUUGGGGGGCUGAACGCUAUCUCAUCAUAUGGCCAUACCACCUUGUGCUUAUUCAUCUCUCGGACAUUUGAGUUGUUUCUAUCUUUUGGCGAUUGUGUGGUAUGCAAUGCUGAUAUGAACUUUCAAGUACAAGCUUUUGUGUGGACAUAUGUUUUCAAUACCCGUGGGUACAGACGCCUAAGCAUAAAGUUGCUGGAUCAUACAGUAGCUAUGUUGUAACCUUUUGAGGGACUG